GGUCGAAUGGUGUAGUUGGUUAUCACAUCCCCUUUACACGGGGAAGGUCUUCGGUUCGAGUCCGGAUUUGAUCA
rnacentral:tRNA from 1 species